rnacentral:lncRNA from 1 species
GUAGUGUUUCAUCUUGGCUCUUUUUAUUGAAGACUCAGGAUCUGUGCAAUAACGUUCCAUAGGGUCUCAGAGCCCGGGAAAACGUUGAACGAUAUCGAGGCAGGCUCUGGCUGAAACACUUUAUCGCUUUUGGCAAGUGGCCACUCAGAGUACUAUGGGCUUAGGCGUGUGCCCGCUUCGACCGAAUGGUUUCUUUUCCUUUGUCUGUUUAUCUAAACGCAGAUUCCCGGUCGGAAUAUUAUCGCUUUUUUAUGAGAAAAAUGGCAUAAAAAUUGAUUUUAAACAGCGGUUGACAUGCUUCGAAGUACGGUAAUGGAAUAUUUAGAAUUCUUUUGUCACGAAUUGCGCCAUGCUCGUCACCCUUAUUUAGCCUUUAGGAUAGUGUCUAGAACGCACGAACAAAACACCGCUGUUUGGAUAUAACAAUGGAUUAUUUUGGACCAAACCAACAUUUGUUAUUGAAGUAGAAGUCCUGGGAGUGCAUUCUGACGAAGACAACAAAGGACCUGAGCCCUAGGACCAUGCCUCAGGACUACCUGGUAUGAUGACUCCUUGCUGUCCCCAGUCCACCUGACCGUGCUGCUGCUCCAGUUUCAACUGUUCUGCCUGGCGCUAUGGAACCCUGACCUGUUCACCGGACGUGCUUGUUGCACCCUCGACAACUACUAUGAUUAUUAUUAUUUGACCAUGCUGGUCAUUUAUGAACAUUUUAACAUCUUGACCAUGUUCUGUUUUAAUAUCCACCCUGCACAGCCAGAAGAGGACUGGCCACCCCUCAUAGCCUGGUUCCUCUCUAGGUUUCUUCCUAGGUUUUUGGCCUUUCUAGGGAGUUUUUCCUAGGGAGUUUUUCCUAGCCACCGUGCUUCUUUCGCACGCAUUGCUUGCUGUUUGGGGUUUUAGGCUGGGUUUCUGUACAGCACUUUGAGAUAUCAGCUGAUGUACGAAGGGCUAUAUAAAUAAAUUUGAUUUGAUUUGACCAGUAGAUCUCUACUUUACUCCCUUUUUGUUUACAAGGCCCUAAUUCAUAAACUUCCAUCUUAUCAAACUGUACUGUUAACUAUAGAUAUCUGAGUUGCCUAAUCCGUUCACAGGAUUGGGGUUCCUUGGGUCUCCACCAAGUCAGAAUUCAAAAUAUGUUUCAUCUUGAUGUUCUGGUGCCGUUCGGGCAAUUUAA